UACAGAGGUCUCGAGCGUUGUUCGGAUUCAUUGGGCGUAAAGGGUGCGUAGGUGGCUUGGUCAGUCGGACGUGAAAUCCCGGGGCUCAACCCUGGAACUGCAUUCGAUACUGCCGGGCUAGAGUACUGGAGAGGAGAUUGGAAUUUACGGUGUAGCAGUGAAAUGCGUAGAUAUCGUAAGGAAGACCAGUGGCGAAGGCGGAUCUCUGGACAGUUACUGACACUGAGGCACGAAGGCCAGGGGAGCAAACGGG
rnacentral:rRNA from 1 species